UGCAGUGUUGGAGGCCUGUCUGUCUCCUUCCUGCUCCUCUGCUGUUCCUAUGGGGGGCGCUCUGCAGGAGUGUCUGCCCUGUGAUGGGGUGUAUGAGGUUUUCAUCCGGACAUUGACUGACACCGAUUAUGACGAGCUCUCUCCGCAACCUGGAGAGGAAAGGGUGUGCUCUGACCCUUUCCCCGGGCUUGGAGAGAAAAUGACCGCACCGCAAAAUGUUCCUGGGUGUGACAUGGAAGUCUGGAGACAACCCCAGUGUCCACUGUGCAUCGUUCUGGAGAGAAUUCUCCCUUACCUGCAUCAAAAAAGGUCCAUGCGCCAAAAGGUGAUAUUGCCAGCUGCAAUGAUGACCUGACAGUCAAGAAAGACCCAUGUUUAGGGAGGUCAUUUGCAGACUUUAAACCGUAAGCAUUGUGCAUCUUACUUUUGUGUUGUAUAGUUAGAAGGAAAUUCUGGUCAGUUUACAAAUGUUAUGUGUAAUGGAAGGCUAAAGACUGUAUUAUUCGUAGGUUUCUGGUUUGGUUUGGGUGUGUUCACCUCUGGGCAUCGGUCAGAACGCAAUGAUGGCAAGACUUGUAGGCUUGUAGUUUCCUGAAGGAACAGACAGUAAAUAACAGGACAAUAUGUAUAGGGCUAUGGGUUGAUCAGUAGAAAGGCUACUGUACCACUGAUCCAUAACUGUGGAUGUGGAAAGGUGAUAGUGCUUCUGUGUGGUUGACCUAUAUAGGAGGAAGCAGAAUGCAGAGUGCCAGGAAUAAUAUCAGGAAUAAUAUACAGCAAUUAUACAAUGACAUUACUUGACACCAUUUACAAUAUAAACUGUAAAGGCAUCAUUUACUACACAGUUUAAUACACAUAAAGGGACUAAUCUAAAGCACCACUAGGUGGCAGUAGUAACACAUGAACGACUAGGACAUUGCUACAUAACUGAAUUGUGGAAUCUCACUGAAUCCCAGUCACACUUUGGCAAGAAAGGAGAUCCAUGAAGUGAACUGAAUCUCUAAGCCUGAAUUCUCGUCAAGUCAAGGUAAGGAUGGCUCCCCUAGGGAGCUCUACACUCACAAUUCCACUUAGUUCAGGAACUGAAUGGGAAUUCUUAUGGACAAAUCAAAUAUCUUAGUCAGCUGAAUGUAAAUCAACGGGGCAUUGCAUUUCCACAAAAUCAAGGGUGUUCCUGACAGUUGGAGAGAUCUGAGAAUCGUCCUGCAGUGACGAGGAGGACACGGAAGGAAAGGCGAGUGAAGAGGAGAAGGAGGUGCUAAGUGUGGUCACACCAUCGUGGUGUCGUAUCUUCUCGACUACCCCAACAAGAUCCUGUCGGUCCCCGCGCCAGACCUAUCUCAGCUCACACCCCCUCCCAUGAUACCUCUCAGGCUCCAUGAGUUCCAUGCCAAGCCCUGGCCAUGGUGGUGUCUCACCAAGAGGCAGACAGAGUACCCUCCAAUAUCACAACAACUCCACCCAUCAUCACAAAAGGCGGCUCCAAGCUGAGGCUGAGCCCCAUACAGGAUAACCCCGUCGCUGCAGAUGGUCCAGACAGACCUGCUGCCCCUCUUCCACCUGUACCAGCCCCUGGAGUCCAUCGUGAAAGAGACGGGGCAGCCCCUGCAGACCAGCUUCGUACCUUGGCCACCCAGCAGUCCAGACUUUAGUACGGCAGACUACCCCGACAGCUCCUGCCCUGACCUGCUGAGGCUGAUGGUGAGUCAGCUGUAGAUGUUGGGGCAGCCGGACCGGGCAUUCUCACUCAGGCCCCUGACGGACUCAUAGUGGCCUCCCCUGCUCAGGACGACAUCAUAGAAGAUCCUGCUGGAUAAAGGAGAGGACAUUGAAGCCCAGUCUGCGAAAACCCAGUCUGAGAGAACCAAAAACACAAUGAUGUUUAUCUGGACAAUAUUGCAAAACAUGUUGAUGCUCUCAGUAUCACUGAAUGUCUUACAUGUGUUGACUCACACUGCUUUUUUAAAUACAUUUCCAUGGGUGAGCUGGUUGGAUGCCACACACCACGAACUCAAGGUCAAAUGGAAGCUAUGGUCCAUGUUGUGUCUAUAACUGUUUCCACACUGACAGGAAAAGACACUGCUGUGAAGGGUCCUGCCUGACCCAAAUGCUUCAAAUGGCACAAUUACAUACGUAAGAGGCUGUCUCUUUGACAGGUGUUUAUGAAACGGAAACCAUCAGAACACUAUCCCUCACAAGAUAUACUAGUGAAAGUGAUUGUUUGAUUUCAAAUGUUUUAUCAUAAACUAAUGAUUAGUUACAUGUUGAGUACAUAUUUUGCUACCCUUUCCUGAUAUGAUUUUAUAAAUCCUGACUGGAGUCUCUAGGUUAGUCUUGUAGCUGAAUGUAUUGCUAAUAUCACCCCCAAAAACCAUGCUGUUUCAUUAUGUGUAUCUCAUUAAAC